rnacentral:rRNA from 1 species
GGACAACUGCCCUGAGGACUGGAAUAAUCCCGGGAAACUGGGGGUAAUUCCAGAUAUGUCAGAACUCCUGGAAUGGGUUCUGGCAGAAAGGCUCCGGCGCCUCAGGAUGGGUCUGCGGCCUAUCAGGGUAGUAGUGGGUGUAACGUACCUACUAGCCUACGACGGGUACGGGUUGUGAGAGCAAGAGCCCGGAGAUGGAUUCUGAGACAUGAAUCCAGGCCCUACGGGGUGCAGCAGGCGCGAAAACUUUACAAUGCGGGCAACCGCGAUAAGGGGACCUCGAGUGCUGGGUUACAAACCUGGCUGUUGGGCUGCCUAAAAAGCAGUCUAUAGCAAGGGCCGGGCAAGACCGGUGCCAGCCGCCGCGGUAACACCGGCGGCUCGAGUGGUAACCGCUAUUAUUGGGUCUAAAGGGUCUGUAGCCGGCCGACUAAGUCUCUUGGGAAAUCUGGCAUCUCAAGUGUCAGGCUGCCAGGGGAUACUGGUCGGCUUGGGACCGGGAGAGGUGAGAGGUACCUCGGGGGUAGGGGUGAAAUCUUGUAAUCCUCGAGGGACCACCAGUGGCGAAGGCGUCUCACCAGAACGGAUCCGACGGCAAGGGACGAAAGCUAGGGGCACGAACCGGAUUAGAUACCCGGGUAGUCCUAGCCGUAAACGAUACUCGCUAGGUGUCGGCCACGGUGCGACCGUGGUCGGUGCCGUAGGGAAGCCGUGAAGCGAGCCACCUGGGAAGUACGGCCGCAAGGCUGAAACU